AUUGAACGCUGGCGGCAGGCCUAACACAUGCAAGUCGAGCGAGCGGCGGACGGGUGAGUAAUGUCUGGGAAACUGCCUGAUGGAGGGGGAUAACUACUGGAAACGGUAGCUAAUACCGCAUACCAUCAGAUGUGCCCAGAUGGGAUUAGCUAGUAGGGGGGGUAAUGGCUCACCUAGGCGACGAUCCCUAGCUGGUCUGAGAGGAUGACCAGCGACGGUGGAGAGGAGAGAGGGUCCGGACUGCUAGGGGAGGCAGGAGGGGGGAAUAUUGGACAAUGGGGGCAAGGCUGAUGGAGCCAUGCCGCGUGUGUGAAGAGGGCCUUCGGGUUGUAAAGCACUUUCAGCGGGGAGGCGUUACCCGCAGAAGAAGCACCGGCUAACGCCGUGCCAGCAGCCGCGGUAAUUC
rnacentral:rRNA from 1 species